rnacentral:tRNA from 1 species
UAGCUUAGUGGAUAGAGCGUCAGUCUGCGGACUGAAGGGUACCAGGUUCGAUUCCGGU